rnacentral:sRNA from 1 species
AUGAUGAAAGUGAAAGUAACCCUGAUGUCAGCCGUAGAGCCAGAGAUGCGAAGAAUGUCUCUCGGAGACAAUCCUGACUUUGGUGAUUUGAAGAAGAAGGUUUCUGAGCUGUUUAACGAGACUGACACUGAAAUGCUGUUCCAAUGGAAAGAUAGCGAAGACGACAUGAUCACGAUGUCGAGUGAAGAGGAAUUCCAAGAAGCGCUGAAGAAUAUCAGCGACGGACUUCUGAGAAUCUUCAUCAAAAGAGUGAAUGAUUGUACCAACGGCUUGAAAGGAGGAAAUGCAGACCAUGAAAAUUCAGAUUUUCGUAUGAAUAUGGACAAUGACACUGACGUUCGACCUAGAGUUUGGGAACGUCGCCUGGGUCGCGGAAAAGGAUGUGGUCUUGGUCGGAGAUCGUUUGAUGCAAGCCCCGCACGUCGGAGAGGUUGUUAUGAAAGGAAAGAGUGGAGGCGUAUGCGCCGCGCACUGAAAUUUACUGAAGGGUUUGAUAAACCUGAGCAUGGAUGCCGAAGGUUCCGAAAGAGGGACGCGAGAAAGCACGAAGAUCGUCGCGAUUUGAUGAGCUCUGAUGACGUAAUUCCCGAGGGAGGGAUGGAGGAGUGCCGCUGGACUGACCGUUCAGCCGGAUGUCGAAAGAUCCGUCGUUGUCAACGUCCGCUGGGUAUGUCAACUGAUGGAUGCCGCCGGUCACGAAUGAGAAAACGGGAAACUAUGUAUGAGAUGGCAAGAGGCAUGAAUCGCUGUAGACGAGCAAACUCUGCUCCCCCUGCGCGUUUUCAUGACGAAAACCAUACAAGGUGUGGAAGAAGAAUGCGUGGGAGGUUCGAACGGACAAGACGUUGUCGAUCUGCUUCACUUCCACCGCUAGAAAGGUCGUCUGCAUUUCCUGCUGGGAGUUGCAGACGACGUUUUGGUUGUCCGAAAAGAUUCUUGAUUAAGUUAAAGGUCAAGAAUGUGAAAAAGCGUGGAUGUACUUCCGAUGAUGAAUCUGGCUGUAACAGAGAAAAGAAAUGUCUUGGAAGAAGAUGUAAAAGUUAUCGAAGGCGGGCAAUGAUGGAAGCUGAUAAAGUCAAGGAAAAUGUUGAUGCUCCUAUCACACCCGAAGAAGACAUGGAGCCUAGGAUGGAAACGUUGAGUCUUAAUGAUGACAGGAGUGACGAGGAUAUGCAGAAGGACCAGCAAGAUGGUAUGGGAAAAAAAGAAAGAAGAUGCAAGCGCAGAAAACAUACUUACCAGGAGGAUGGGGAAGAUGAAAACGACAGACCUGAAAGACGUAGAGGCAAGUGUCACCGGAAUUGCAGAAAUAAGUAUGAAAUGAAUGGCGAUGUGUCCCAGCCUCAAGAGAAUACACAAGAAGAAGACAACAAUGAAGCUGAAUAUUCCGAUCAAAACCGCAGGGAGAGAAGGCGUCAGAUAAGGGAAUACCGCCGGGCUUUGCAAGAACAGAGUAGCGUUGAAUGCAGCCACAGAAGCGGUAAAGGAGACCGUGGCUACCACAAAUACAUGAAACCGAAAUGGAUGGAAAGACACCAAAUGAUCAAGAUAGAAAACGUGACCACGAGGAUUGGUCAAGGAAAGAUUUUGAUUGGCCACGGUACCACGGAACGUGCCGCCGCCGCCAAGCACGCGGCUUUAGAAGAUUCCGCGCCAUGUCGCCAGAAUUUUCCCGCCGUGAUGUUGGCGGGUUUAGACCACGUGGCUGGUAUCGCAAGAACUGUCCUUGGUAAAGAAUAAGAAAGGCGAU